GUGGGGAAUCUUGCGCAAUGGGCGAAAGCCUGACGCAGCCAUGCCGCGUGAAUGAUGAAGGUCUUAGGAUUGUAAAAUUCUUUCACCGGGGACGAUAAUGACGGUACCCGGAGAAGAAGCCCCGGCUAACUUCGUGCCAGCAGCCGCGGUAAUACGAAGGGGGCUAGCGUUGCUCGGAAUUACUGGGCGUAAAGGGCGCGUAGGCGGACAGUUUAGUCAGAGGUGAAAGCCCAGGGCUCAACCUUGGAAUUGCCUUUGAUACUGGCUAGCUUGAGUACGGGAGAGGUGAGGGGAACUCCGAGUGUAGAGGUGAAAUUCGUAGAUAUUCGGAAGAACACCAGUGGCGAAGGCGACUCACUGGCCCGUUACUGACGCUGAGGCGCGAAAGCGUGGGGAGCAAACAGGAUUAGAAACCCGUGUAGUCC
rnacentral:rRNA from 1 species